GUUCAGGGGCGGGAAUCGAACCCACAACGUUCCGCUUACCGGGCAGAUGCCAUGUCCACUAGGCUACCCUGGA
rnacentral:tRNA from 1 species